UGAGCAAUCUGCCCUUCUCAUCGGACUAAGCGUUGGAAACGACGUCUAAUGCCGAAUACGACCUCCUUUCGCAUGAUCGGAGGUGGAAAGCUCCGGCGGAGAAGGAUGAGCUCGCGGCCUAUCAGCUAGUUGGUGUGGGUAAUGGCCCACCAAGGCGACGACGGGUAGCCGGCCUGAGAGGGUAACCGCCACACUGGGACUGAGACACGGCCCAGACCUCCUACGGGAGNAG
rnacentral:rRNA from 1 species